GGCUAGAUGGUGUGAUUUGAACACGCAACCUUCUGACUCCUGAUCAGAAGGUUGCGUGUUCAAAUCACGUCCGGGUCA